UAACCACUGAACUUUGGGAACUGCUUAAAUCAAACUCUGAGUCUGGGAGCAUAAUACCAGGUUAAUAGCAGUCUUGUGUAGGUCUGCUAUGGCUGCUGCUUUUAUAUUGCUGCUGACCCACAGUCUUCUCUGCUCAGUAAUACAGGCACAAAUGAGUGCAGUCCUUGUUCUCCUUUCAGGGAAUUGGAGAGGUUUUUUUUUAUGAUUGAAUUUGAGAUUUAUUUGAUAAACGUUCACCAAAUGUGUAUGCCUAAGCUUCUUCAAACUUCAAUUUAAUGACAAUAUCAUCAGGGGGCUUAUGUCUGUGGUAGACGUGGAUUACAAGAGUUAAAAUGAGAAUGACUGGAUGAGACUGAAGUACAGAUGGUUGAUUGUUGCUUUUGGUGACAAAUUUAACCGUACUAAGAUAUUUAUCAUCCAAAAAACUUAGUGCUUAAAACAAAACAGAUGACAUUUUUUAAUGUUUUUCACGUUCCAUUUGGAAACUCACACAGCUUGUGGAGCUGCAAACGGGUUUGCUUGAGCCCCAAUAUCACAGUGCUGCUUUUGAUUUUUAAAGGGCUGAAGUAAUGCAGACUAUUUCUCUGAGGCAUGUAUUUUGUUGUUGUUGUUGUUUUUGUUGUUGCCGCGGUGAUAUUGAUUUUGUAGAUAUUAAGAACAAUCAUGAUAUUGAAGUGAAAUCCCAACAUAUUUCUAGUCAACUCUCUAUGGGGCCACACACACUUUUGUGCAUCUAUGUGCUUGUGUGUUUCUUGCACUUGUGUGUCUGCUGGUGUACGCUGUGCUCCAGGAGGCCGGCUCCCAGCUGUCAGGGAGUGCAGCCUGCAGUCAGUCAGGGGGAACAGGUCUGUGUAAGCUGCCAGUCAGGCCCAGUGCUGCAACUGCUGUCCCUACAGUAAUGAUGAUGGGGGAGCACAUCCACCAGCAUCCACCACUGCAGGAGCUCAUUAAGGGAAAAUAAUUGGGAGUUUGUUAAAAACAACAGUCCUCAGGCCAGGGAGACAGGUGUUUGUCCACAUUUGGCAAAACAUGGCCCCACUUAAGAUGGAUGGAUGGAUGGAUGGAUGGAUGGAUGGAUGGAUGGAUGGAUGGAUGGAUGGAUGGAUGGAUGGAUGGAUGGAUGGAUGGAUGGAUGGAUGGAUAGAUAGAUAGAUAGAUAGAUAGAUAGAUAGAUAGAUAGAUAGAUAGAUAGAUAGAUAGAUAGAUAGAUAGAUAGAUAGAUAGAUAGAUAGAUAGAUAUAGAGUGAGAUAGAUAUAUAGAUUAUAGAGUGAGAUAUAAAGAGAUAAGUAUAGAUAGAUAGAUAGAUAGAUAGAUAGAUAGAUAGAUAGAUAGAUAGAUAGAUAGAUAGAUAGAUAGAUAGAUAGAUAGACGAAGAUUAAGAGAUAGUGAUAGAGAGUUAGAGAUCAAUAUAGAGGAGAUACAGACAGACAGAUAGAUAGUUAAGUAUAGAGAUAAACAUAGAUAUAGACAUAUAGAGAUAGAAAAGAUAGAUGUAUAGAUAAAAAUAGAUAAAGAUAGAUGUAUACAGAUAGAGAUCAAGAUUGAUAGAUAUAGAUAUAGAUGAGUAGAUUUGUCUAAAGAGUAUCCAUCAUACAUACAUACAUACCUUUAUACUUGCUUGUAAACAUAUACAUGCAGACACGCAUAAAUAUUCUUGCAUGCAUGCAUGCAUACAUGUAUACAUGCAUUCAUACAUAUAUGCAUUUAUGUGUACCUACAUAUACAAUUUAUUUUAUACACAUAAAUGCACACAUAGAUACAAAAAAAUAGAUAAAAAGAUCUGUUCAUUCAGAUGGGAUUUCUGUAGAAGAGAACCUGUGAGGAACUGCAUAAGCAUGCAGCGUCUGGAUUAACCCUGGUAUUCUAGUUUUCUGCAUUUGUUUAUCUGCACACAUAUAAAAGGGUCUGAUCUCCAGUUUCAGCCACAAACCACCGACAUCAAUUACCUCCUCUCUCUGCAAAGCCAGCAGACAUGCCCGCUGCUGUCGACACACAGGGCGACACAGCAAGACCCUCAGACAAUAGAGGCAACACUGGUCCAAUCACCGAGAACAACCAUGAGACUCUAUUAAGUAAUAGCGUGAACACUUCACAGCAGCGAUUGCCACUCUGUUACGACAAUCAACAGAAUCACUGAAGCAAUCCGUGGGUCAACAAGUGGCAUCGUUUGUCAGCAGUCUCACUAAAACUGAGGUUUUGGCGGGUGAUAUAGGGCGUGUAUUAAACUGAGGGCUCUCAUCGUCAAAUCCUGUUGCCUCUAGGAUAAAGGCUCGGGCCAGACGACAUAAAUUGCAGAGCCAUGGCUCCAGGUUUAGAUUUGUAUAUAAGUGCACAGACAGACUGAUUGAUUGUAUAAAAGACGUACAGAUAAAAGAUAAAGGGGUCUAUACAUGGUUGAUGACUAGAUAGAUACGUAGAUAAUUAGAGGAUAGAUGCUGAUGGAUGGACUGAUUGGUGGACAUUUGAUUCGGCUCCUCCUCUUGUAUCAGCAGCAGCUCUGAUUAGCCUCUCAUACAAACAAUCCUGAAAGCCUCUUCUGAUUCCCCGCUUUUACCCAGCACAGACAAUCACUAUAAUUAUUAUGGCUCUCAAAUAAGUGAGAGUUGGAAAUCUUUUAAUGGUGCAAUCUAAAAUUAAACACAACACAUGUAAACACUGGCAUGGAAGGAGAAACAUGUAAUUACUGGUAAUUACAGAGCCAGAUUUUAGCACGGCAAAGUCAAUCAAUCUCCGGAGCUGAAGAGGAAACUGCAGCUUUAAAGGAUUUUUUCAGGCUAGGAAAGUUAGGGUUUGUAAAUGCAGUGGAGAUGUGAUUUAAAACUCCCCGGGUUAUUAUGAAAUAUUCAUCUGCAAGACGACAAAUCUGUCCAUAAAGGAAAAGGAAGCGGCGCUUUUUUGAUUCCACAAAACGACACAAAAUUUCAGUCCCAUGAAGAUGCUGUGAAACUGGCAAAUAGGCGCCUAAUCCGCCUUAAUGUCUGGGAGUGGAGAUGCAUGUCAUGCGGUGAUUACGCUGCCUGCUUCCGUGUUUCACAUGUUCCUCCCCGAGCAGGAGGGGGGGGUUGAGAUCUUUGGGAAGCCUGACUCAACCGUUAGGAAGCAAAGCUCAACCCGAAACCAUGACUCGAGAGGAAAGGAUUAGACAGACAUCACUAACCAAAGACACAAGUCACUUUUGUGACAUCUGGCAGGUGCUCUAAACUGAGCCACCACAUGAUGUUCUGAUCUAAAUCCUGUUUUUCUCCAGCUAAAGUUACAGGAGUCUCAGGGUUAGUACAGUAUCACUGUGUGCAGAGCUGCUUUGUAAGCGCUUAUUGAAACAAGAUCAGAACGCUUUUUCAGGGUUCUCAAGAGACAACAUGUGGGUGUGAAAAUGCAUGCAGAUUAUAGGGCUGGAUGCGGCUUUAUCAAAUACAUUAAGCUCUAAUUGACCUUCUUAGAGAAUAUGAACAAGAGCAGCACAUCCUCCAUGUUUAAGACCUGAUUUAGUUCUUCUUAUUCUCAUUGUCUUAAGUUGUUUAGUUCUACAAAAGUCAUGUUGUAGUGGCAGGGUGCAUGUCGCUCAGAUGUUAAUGCACUUAUUAAAGUUGCUGCCUUGGGGUGAAUGCAUUUAAAUGAUCCAGUGGAGCAGCAAGAAACAUAAAGAUGCAUUUUUGAGUCUGCAAAAAUAAAACGCAUAAUAAAUAUAUGUAUGAAGCAUUAUUAUCAUGUUAUAGCACUGUAUAUGAAUAGUUAUAAACACUCAUAAAUGAUCAUAAGGCUUUAUUGCCAUAUCCAUAUCGCAUUAUAAAGCAUUGUAUCAUGACUUACAAGGUUAGGUAUUAUAAUGUGUUAUAACUGUUAACCCUCUGACAGUGCCUACAUAGAUAAUGCAUUAUACACAUAUUUAUGAUGUCUUAUAAUUUGCUUAUAAACUUGUAUAACAAUCAUUAUAAACACUUAUUAAUUAUCAUAAGGCUUUAUAACAAUAAGGAUAACACAUUAUAAUACCCGGCCUUUACGUCAUGAUAAAAUGCUUUACAAUGUGUUAUGAUUAUUGCUAUAAAGCAUUAUGAUCAUUUAUGAGUGUUUAUAACUGUAGUUAUACAGUGCUAUAACGUGAUUAUAAUGCUUUAUACAUAUAUUUAUAAUGCGUUAUUGCGAUAGGCGUCAAUUAAGUUCUACCAAAAAGUUCUCAUAUUCUUGAAGGCAGUCAAUGAGCUAAAAACUAAACAUGGUGUGAAAUGCAUGCUGGAUAAACCCAACAGUCAGAACAAUAAGCACAAGAAACACCUCGAGGAAAUAGCAGAAAUAAUAUGUGGAGAUGUUACUGGAUAUUAAAGUGCUAUUACAGCCAUACAGUAACAGCGGCAGGGUAUUGGAGGAUGUGUGUUAGUCAUAGGUAAAUGUUUGUUUUGGAGCCGGGCUGUGCUCUUGGCCUUCGGAGAGCGAGGUUGUGAAGUCUGUUGUACAUGUUGUAUUCUCGCCGGGUUAUGAAUGCAGACUGCUUGUGUUUAUAUUCGGCGGCGUCAGUUACGGCUUCAUAUCGGUAGUGAAAGGUCUCGCAGACUUAAAAAAAUAAAAUGUGAGCACACUUGUAUGAUCCUGUUGUCGUGUCUCUGUAUGCUUUGAAAAGUCCCUUAAAGUGUGACAGUGCAGAGGACACUAUUGUUGCAGCAUUGUAAAUAUUUAGACAGUUUGUGUUACCUACUCUUUUUGCUCUGUCUCUUCAUAAAUAAAAGUAUGAAAAUGUUUGUAAGAGCAUGUUUGUGUGAUAUUAGCAAUUUUGAAGAUGAGCUGGAAAAUGUCAUUGCCCAGAUACUUAGCUUUAAUGGAGCAUGACAGAGCCACUGGCUGUCUCCCAGCUGAAACAGCCUAAUUCAUAAAAGAACAUACAAAUAACGCUUUGCAGAAUAAAACCGCAAAACACAUCAAGAGAUAUUGCAUUCGCAGUCUUUCAUCAGGCAUAUGGAGGCUGCUCCUAGUGUUGAUUGCUUCUGAUAAGAUUAAACAUCCAACUUCUGGCAGAUGAUCAGAGCUGUGCAGCUGUAAUUACUGCAGCAGUGAAGCUUUAAAGUGUUUGGGGCGAUGUGAGAGGCACCGGGGUUGAAACAGAAUACGGGUUGCUUUGUGUCCACUCAAUUCUGACCACAUCAUACUCUUAAAAGAAUGAGCGGGGCUCAAAGAUAGCUGCUGUCCAGAGAUAAUGAUAGCCUGUCACAUUUUUAGGGCAGCAAUUAUGCAGAUUUUGUUUAAAUGGCUUCCAGAGCAGAAUGUCACUCAAUAACAGACUCCAGCUCAAACCCAGCCAGACAGAUCCUCCCUCAGCACCCCCUGAUUGGCAGUUAGGACAAAAAAUGGCACGGCAUCCUCAAGUAACUCCUUAUGACAGGCCCGAACAAUAGAUUUAUAGGUAGAAAUUGGUCAAAAUACAGAGAAAUACCUGUAUCAGCUCAAGCAUAUCACUGCAACAGA